AAACUUGAGAGUUUGAUCAUGGCUCAGAACGUACGCUGGCGGCACGCCUAACACAUGCAAGUCGAACGAAGUAGCAAUACUUAGUGGCAGACGGGUGAGUAACAUGUAGGUAUCUGCCCUUUGGCCUGGAAUAACACGAGGAAACUUGUGCUAAUACCGGAUAAGUCUUUACGGAGAAAGCUUUAUGCACCAUUGGAUGAGCCUGCACUUGAUUAGUUUGUUGGUGGGGUAAUGGCCUACCAAGACUGUGAUCAAUAGCUGAUUUGAGAGGAUGAUCAGCCACAUUGGGACUGAGACACGGCCCAAACUCCUACGGGAGGCAGCAGUGGGGAAUCUUGCACAAUGGAGGAAACUCUGAUGCAGCGAUGCCGCGUGAGUGAAGAAGGCCCUUGGGUUGUAAAGCUCUUUCGUCGGGGAAGAAAAUGACUGUACCCGAAUAAGAAGGUCCGGCUAACUUCGUGCCAGCAGCCGCGGUAAUACGAAGGGACCUAGCGUAGUUCGGAAUUACUGGGCUUAAAGAGUUCGUAGGUGGUUGAAAAAGUUAGUGGUGAAAUCCCAGAGCUUAACUCUGGAACUGCCAUUAAAACUUUUCAGCUAGAGUAUGAUAGAGGAAAGCAGAAUUUCUAGUGUAGAGGUGAAAUUCGUAGAUAUUAGAAAGAAUACCAAUUGCGAAGGCAGCUUUCUGGAUCAUUACUGACACUGAGGAACGAAAGCAUGGGUAGCGAAGAGGAUUAGAUACCCUCGUAGUCCAUGCCGUAAACGAUGUGUGUUAGACGUUGGAAAUUUAUUUUCAGUGUCGCAGGGAAACCGAUAAACACACCGCCUGGGGAGUACGACCGCAAGGUUAAAACUCAAAUGAAUUGACGGGGACCCGCACAAGUAGUGGAGCAUGUGGUUUAAUUCGAAGAUACGCGCAGAACCUUACCAACACUUGACAUGUUCGUCGCGACUCUAAGAGAUUAGAGUUUUCGGUUCGGCCGGACGAAACACAGGUGCUGCAUGGCUGUCGUCAGCUCGUGUCGUGAGAUGUUGGGUUAAGUCCCGCAACGAGCGCAACCCUCACUUUUAGUUGCCAUCAUUAAGUUGGGCACUCUGAAAGAACUGCCAGUGAUAAGCUGGAGGAAGGUGGGGAUGACGUCAAGUCCUCAUGGCCCUUACGUGUUGGGCUACACACGUGCUACAAUGGUAUCUACAACAGGAAGCAAGACGGCGACGUCAAGCAAAUCCCUAAAAGAUACCUCAGUUCGGAUUGCACUCUGCAACUCGAGUGCAUGAAGCUGGAAUUACUAGUAAUCGUGGAUCAGCGUGCCACGGUGAAUGCGUUCCCGGGUCUUGUACACACCGCCCGUCACACCAUGGGAGUUGGUUCUACCUUAAGGCAAGGUUUCAAACCCUUGACCACGGUAUAGUCAGCGACUGGGGUGAAGUCGUAACAAGGUAGCCGUAGGGGAACCUGCGGCUGGAUUACCUCCUUU
rnacentral:rRNA from 1 species